GGACAUCCCUAGUUCGGAUUGUAGGCUGAAACCCGCCUACAUGAAGCUGGAAUUGCUAGUAAUCAUAGGUCAGCAUACUAUGGUGAAUACGUUCCCGGGCCUUGUACACACCGCCCGUCACACCAUGGGAGUCAGUAACGCCCGAAGUCAGUGACCUAACCGAAAGGGAGGAGCUGCCGAAGGCGGGACGGAUGACUGGGGUGAAGUCGUAACAAGGUACC
rnacentral:rRNA from 1 species